CAUACUCUUUGUAUAUUUCAUCAUACCAUUAGAUUCAUCAUUUAGGACUACUGCUUUCACUUGUGUUUUUUUUUUUUUUUCAAAAUGGGUCGUAGGUUAUAGGAUAAUUGUACCAAGGGCAUUACUCAUAUUAUGUUUAUUUACAGGUUACAGGGUGCUCAGGAUUUAGGGCAACACUACGCCAGUUAGGUAGGUCUGUUAUAGAUUAAUUCAAUUGGGUGCACGAGCUGGCACUUACAAUUCACACAUGUACGUU